rnacentral:rRNA from 1 species
UCCACGCCGUAAACGAUGGUCACUCGUUGCUGGUGAUAUACAAUCAGUGACUGAGCGAAAGCAUUAAGUGACCCACCUGGGGAGUACGUUCGCAAGAAUGAAACUCAAAGGAAUUGACGGGGGCCCGCACAAGCGGAGGAACAUGUGGUUUAAUUCGAUGAUACGCGAGGAACCUUACCUGGGCUUAAAUGUAGAUUGCAUAGAGUAGAAAUAUUCUUUUCCUUCGGGACUAUUUACAAGGUGCUGCAUGGUUGUCGUCAGCUCGUGCCGUGAGGUGUCGGGUUAAGUCCCAUAACGAGCGCAACCCCUACCCUUAGUUGCCAGCGGAUAAUGCCGGGGACUCUAGGGGAACUGCCAGCGUAAGCUGAGAGGA